CGCAUCUGUGCAUGCAGCAUAUCAAUAAGCGGAGGAAAAGAAACUAACAAGGAUUCCCCUAGUAACGGCGAGUGAAGCGGGAAGAGCUCAAAUUUGAAAUCUUAAAGGGUUUCCCUUUACGAAUUGUAGUUUAAAGAAGUGUUUUCUGUUGAGGAUUUUGGUAAAAGUUCUUUGGAAUAGGACAUCAUAGAGGGUGAGAAUCCCGUAUUUGACCUUUACUUUCAACUUUGUGAUACACUUUCAAAGAGUCGGAUUGUUUGGGAAUGCAGUCCAAAAUGGGUGGUAAAUUUCAUCUAAAGCUAAAUAUUGGCGAGAGACCGAUAGCGAACAAGUACCGUGAGGGAAAGAUGAAAAGAACUUUGAAAAGAGAGUUAAACAGUACGUGAAAUUGUCAAAAGGGAAGCGUUUGACACCAGUGUUGUUUUUCUGAAAAUCAAUUAAAGAACUGUUUAUGCUAAGCUGUUUAGACUUUAUCAGCUAACUGUUUAGUUUUGAGCUUUUCUUUAAUGCACUUUUCAGUUAACAAGUCAACAUCAAUUUCUUUUGCUGUAAAAAAGCUUGAGGAAGGUGGCUUGAGAUUCGUCUUAAGUGUUUAUAGCCUCUUGCCUAUGCAGUCGGAGAGAUUGAGGUCUGCAGCGUAGAUCCUUCGGGGCUAAAUGCAUUUGUGCUAAGUUAUAGCAUUUUAUAGACAACUUGUUGACUAUGAUUUGUCUUGUAGCUUACUCGCUUAUGUUAUUUUACCUACGCUUAGGAUGUUGAGUCAUCACACAUCUCU
rnacentral:rRNA from 1 species